rnacentral:rRNA from 1 species
GUGGGGAAUAUUGGACAAUGGGCGCAAGCCUGAUCCAGUCAUGCCGCGUGAGUGAUGAAGGCCCUAGGGUUGUAAAGCUCUUUCACCGGAGAAGAUAAUGACGGUAUCCGGAGAAGAAGCCCCGGCUAACUUCGUGCCAGCAGCCGCGGUAAUACGAAGGGGGCUAGCGUUGUUCGGAAUUACUGGGCGUAAAGCGCACGUAGGCGGACAUUUAAGUCAGGGGUGAAAUCCCGGGGCUCAACCCCGGAACUGCCUUUGAUACUGGGUGUCUGGAGUAUGGAAGAGGUAAGUGGAAUUCCGAGUGUAGAGGUGAAAUUCGUAGAUAUUCGGAGGAACACCAGUGGCGAAGGCGGCUUACUGGUCCAUUACUGACGCUGAGGUGCGAAAGCGUGGGGAGCAAACAGGAUUAGAAACCCUGGUAGUCC